rnacentral:pre_miRNA from 1 species
GGUACCGGGAGGGAGGUUGUCCGUGUAGAGUUCACAGCAUCUAAUGAUGCCCGACGCACGGUCGACCCCUCUUCAGCAUC